UACGGAGGGGGCUAGCGUUGUUCGGAAUUACUGGGCGUAAAGCGCACGUAGGCGGCUUUGUAAGUUAGAGGUGAAAAGCCCGGGGCUCAACUCCGGAACUGCCUUUAAGACUGCAUCGCUAGAAUUGUGGAGAGGUAAGUGGAAUUCCGAGUGUAGAGGUGAAAUUCGUAGAUAUUCGGAAGAACACCAGUGGCGAAGGCGGCCCACUGGACGUGUAUUGACGCUGAGGUGCGAAAGCGUGGGGAGCAAACAGG
rnacentral:rRNA from 1 species